AUUCAUCAACAGCUAUCAGAAAAUUGUUACGAGGAUCUUACUGAUUCUUGUUACGAUCAUUAAUAAAUAAUGUUAAAUAAAUAUCCCAUUCAAGUUCUACAGACACUUGGAAGUUUUGUACUAUCAAUGAAUGAUGGAAACUUCGAUUUUUCACAGAAAUUAUUUUUUUGAAACAACAACACUAGAACCGCCGAGGAACUUACCAUUACGGCAACCAAUCGUCUUGGCACGCAGUUGACUACUGACUGAACGACUAAGGCCUACUUUCCAACUCUCUCUCUAUCUCACCCGCUUAUUUUGCUUCGACUGUCCUCCUGCACGCGACUUUGGUUCAUCUAUAGAUCUGAACGUUGCAGGUGAACCCAUCACUUGUUUUUUCCCUCCGCUUUUCGGCACCUUAAACAGUAUCCGACAGUGAUCGAACGAUGCACACGCUUUCUUCUUGUCGCUGAUAUGAAAUAGAAAGGCUGGCUUGAUCUUUCAUUUUCAAGGAGAAAGAAAGUACCGGGCAAGAUCGGUAGUCAUGUACAAUUCGGGAUGAAUGAAUAUUUUGAAUCGACCGUCGUGCGCUAGUUCGCGUAAAAUGGUGAAUCAUAAGUUUGUGACCUUUGGUAGCUUGGGAAAAGUCUUCUAUGGAUUUGUUGGGUGAGAGUUGUCAAGCAAAAUAUGCUUUUAAUCUACUUAAAAUGAUAAAAAAAUUGAUCGAUUGAGUUUCUCCAGUAAAUAUAUUGACAUUAAUAAUAUACAAUUAUAGACUAAAAUUUAAUUCGUAAUUUAAUUCGAUUUGAAUUGUGCUCGUAUAUGUAAGUAUUUUGUCAGCUAUCCCAGAUACAAAAAGCUACAUAUAAACAUACUAAUUGUAAGUCCAUAUAUACUUUGAAAAAAGAUGCUAUGUCGAUAAUAUUGUUAUACGACGUUACCGAUUCAGUAUAAAAAACAGAUUAUAACGUUAAUGAUUGGAAUUAAGAUUGAAUUUAGCUAUUGCAUUAUAACCAUAGACGAGACGUAGAAUAGUUAUAAUUUGAUCACACAGAACUUAGUGAACGGUGAUUCUACAUACCACGAAUGGUAUAUACGAAAAAAUAGACGCACCGUUUAUCGGUAGGUUACCAUGGGAGAGCUUGUUUUAGAAAAUAUGCAUAUACCGUUUGCUAUAAAGAUAGUCGUCUGUGUAGAAAUAUGAAAUAUAUAUAUUUACUAUUUAACGUAAAUUUAUAUUACUUCUGACAAAUCAAACAACUCAUGAAUUUUCACAUUUGUCAAAUUAGUGACACUUCCUCAUUACGACUUAAUCCUGGCAUCGAUGUUUUUUUUAUAUAUUUUCCUUUGUUCGUUAAUUAAAUUAUAUUUAUUCAUUUCAAAAUAUUAUUACAUACUAAUAUUUAUAAUAAUUUUGUAUAUGCACGGUAAUAUUUUAUAGUAACCUGUACAUUCUAAAAUAUGUUAUAUGUAUACAUAUUUAUAUUUAUUUCAAAUACACGUAAUAAUAGUUUUACAUUCGUUUAAUGUAUAUAGCUAUCUCGUAUCUCAAGGAAAUCCAGAAUGGACUCUUAACGCGCGGGAUCCAAUGUGAUAAUAGGUCUAUUCUGUACCUGUGCCAUGAGUAUCCAUGUAUAAUCUCAGCGGCUUUCACUUUCACCAAAAUACGAUAUCUAUCCAUUGGUACAUACAUGCAUAUGAUUUCAAUUUUUCAAAAUUAUUUAAUCCGAGGUCUGGGCUCUUAAUUUUUACAUAAUCUUUGGAAAGUGAGGAAAGAAGUAACAGAAAAUAAAAGGGAAAAGAGAAAUAUAAAAUAAUCGUACCAAGGUGUGGUCGAUGAUAAGAAAGAUAGAUAACAAAUAUCGACAAAAUAUUGCUAAGCACAACAUUAUUGAUUUUUCUGUCCAUUCGUUGUAACAAAUACGAUCCAAUAGAGGUAAAAGUGGGGAACUCACUCUCACUGCUCGCCAGUUAAUGCGGCUUCGUCACUCUUGCCGUUUUCAAAACUCUACGACCAUCGCGUCAGUUCGCCUCUCCCGUUGACGAGUUUUACAAGUGGAAGUCCCUCGAAGAAAAAAGGAUCGAAAGUGUGAGCUGAAACUGCGUUACAAACGGCCCCCGCAUUUCCAAAAUGGAGAUUGAAUUCAACAAUUUGGACAAUUCCUUCAGGAACCUGAGCUGCGAUCACAAUUACGUGCCCUCUGCGAUAGAGAACAUAGAAAGUUUAAAUGUGUUUGGUAUAGGUUUAUUGAGCUUUGGUACCAUACUCUCUACUUUGACGCUAUACUUCGCCAUGGAUGCUUUCCACAAUAUUUUCUACCAAAAGGAAACAAGAUCCUACAAAACGAACAGUAUCAUGAUCCUCUCAGUGUAUCCUAUAGCAAGUGUCUGUAGUCUUACAGCUCUUGGAAUGCCAAGGACUCAGUUGCUAUCGGAAGCUGUAACUCAAAUCUUUUUAACGAUAGCCCUGUAUCGACUGUAUCUGUUACUGGUCUACAUAGGACGUAAAAAGGUCACAAAGACACCACCAUUAAUAUUACGAGUUGGUCCCUGUUGCUGCUGGCCCUGUCUGCCCUUUCCAAAUCUUGAGAUGACCGACGCUAAUUUGUCCUGGCUCCGACUACUAGUCCUGCAACUUCCUAUUAUUCAGGGAAUGAUUUAUUGCAUAUCUCUCUUUAUGUCGAUCGAAGAGCCUACUCUCGCAACGCAAUAUGGGAUUUAUCUCCAGCCAUUCACAGUGAUCAGCAUAUUUCUGGGAAUAUACGGACUGACUGUUACCAUGAAGAGUCUGCAGGAAGUCGCUCCAGAGGCGAAACUACACCGCAAGACCACAGUAUCCCAGAUGGUUCUGCUAUUUUCAAAGCUACAAGCGUUCAUCGUGAAGAGCUUACCGCAAACAGGCCUAUUUCCUUGCAAUCCACCAAUUACGCCACAAAUUUACGCCAAUGUUACCUACAAUGCCUUGAUGCUAAUCGAGAUGCUGUUGCUCUGCUACGCGGCAAGGUACGUUUAUUACGUCGAUCUGGAAAGGGAAGAAGAAACGACGGCGGUUGAGGCGACAGAUCGGUCCAAAGACAAGAGCAUGGAACAAGCGAACUCGACGAAUAAUAACGAGGCCAACAGGCAGCCAUCAGCGUUGACUGCGUGAGAUUUCCUUCUCGAUAUCAGCGACUUUACGAAUUUCGUCUGUGUCAUUUUUACCUACAAACUGAUAUUUCGUUGUUUGUAUUUGCUCAGCCAUUUGUUCAUUAAUUUCGAUUGCUUACUCAUGCCACGGAUAUAUUUGAUAAUUAGAUUCUAUUUGAAACAAAUCGUGAUAAAAUAUUAGUAUAUAUUGUUCCGAAUCUGAAAGUAUAAUUAGGAUUUAUGUAACGUGCGAAUGAGAUUAGAUUUACAAUGAUGAUAGUACCUGCGUGAAUAAGUGACUUGUUACAAAAGAUACUGAUUAGUAAAUAGCGUAAGAUUCUUUUUUACCUAUAAACAUCAAUUAUCCUAGAAGAGUUAUCAAACUGCGUACUCCAUUUAUUGGUAAUUGAUAUAGCGAGUAAUAGGAGCAUAGGUAUUCGACUAUUUAGAUUUGUUUAUGGGCGCUUAAAUUCGAUUGCGCAAAAUGUAUGACGUGUAAUAACCGCGUUCACGAAGAAAUAGUAUAAUUUUCAAAGAGAAAGUUGGUCCGGGCUAGUAAUCCAUCUUACACAACGGCACUUUUGCAAGUUGUAUCGCAAAUACUUGACGUUUCGAGAGUCAUCUACGUUAGGAAUCUUAGGAACCGUAUCAGUAAAGAAAUAAUACGUUGUAAAAAAACGGAGAAAAAUUCAUGAUCAAGUUACCAGAAGCAGAGUCUCGAAUCUUGUCCAAAAUAGAAGGAACGUCUUGAGCCGUGUUGCGAUUUCUUCAUCGCAGCGCCUUCUUAACGAGGCCUACCGCAGUCUCUACACACACGUAUCGAUGUCUCUACCGCGGAAGAAACAGGAGCUGUCGGCCAAAAUAUGAGAUCAACCAUACGUCGCCGUGUGCGUGAAUUCAACAACCGUCGCUAUGCAUUAUCACGUCCUACGGACGGCUGACAGAUCUCAGGGGAUGCUCGACCAAAUGACUUGCAGCCUGCACUCACUUACGAAACGAGGUUGAAGGGUACUCGAGCGCUUUCUGGAGAGAGAAGAAGCACUUCGAUGUUCUAACGCGAUAUUCUCCAAGAAAGAAAUCGUUUAAGAAAAUGUGUGUCGCUCCAUUGAAACGAGACGCUAAAAGAACUUUCUGUGAUACAUAAUUAUCGUCAUGUGGGUAGUCAGCUUAAAAUAAGUGGUCAGAGCCUAUACUUUUUAGUUUUAAAGCUAUGUAUUCAAAGAAUUCGAAUACAGGUUUUUUAUUAGCCCGAUGAAAGACAAGCAAUCGUUGCACCCCUGCUGACAAACUCCUCUUCUAUGAGAGACGAAACGUAACGUCUUCUAGACCCAGACGUUAUAUCAAAGAAUCAAUUUUCAGAAGUGGACUACGUAGAAUAUUGACACACGUGCAGCUGCAUGAAAUUCCUUCUAAAGAAGCAAAGGACUACGGUAGCUGGAGAGAUAGAACCAUGUUAAGUAAAAAAAUCAACAUUAAGAACUCCGGGUCACGCAUGAUGGGACUUCCUAUUCAGAACGUGCAUGCUGCCAAUGCUUCUCUAUUAUAUAUUCUAGAAAAGUAUGUUUUAUCGUAGCUCUCGAAUUGGAAAAUGUAUCGCUAAUUGAAUGCAUUUGGUUCUAUUUUGUGCUAGUUCGUUUACUUUUUAACUUAUUUUGUUUAUAUUUUAGAUUUGUGUAAUUUACAUAACAUUUCGUAAUUUUUCCAAAAUAUGGAAUAAUUUCGAAACACUAUUGAAAUAAAGAGACAAUAUACGAAAUACAGGCGAUUACAAUGUCAGAAUAACUGCACAAAAUGCAUAAGUUUACUUUUUCAGAGAUGAGAAAAUACGACUCUUCGGAUUUGUAUCCAAUUGCUCAAGGCGACUGAGUGGUUUUGAAUUCCUCAUGGUUGAACUUUGCUCUCCUCUUACAAACAGGAAAUAGGCUCGUGAAACCUCUUGUACGAAGAUUUAUCUAUCAAGAAAUUAAAUAUUGAAACAAGAUAUCGUAAUACGCGUAAUGUUUGGACAAUUCUUAAACCUUGGGGAAGAAAGCGCGUUCAACAUACACAGUUCCAGACAAUUUUCUUCAAAUUAUUGGAACAAAAGAAAAGGGAGACUACAUCUAUCGGAGUUAUGGACUUAAGACGGAGAGAAACUAGCAGGACGAGAGUGGCGAAACAAAGUUCGAAAUUCGAAGACAUCCUCGAGUCCCAAAGAUCUCUCGAAAGAGACGAUGUCAGGAAGAAUUAUCGCCGGCGUGCAUCAGGAAGUGUCCCAUUACAUUCGAAGCGGCACGGCGAUUUUUCUCGUUCUACGUUUUCACCACGGACGAUCGAUUGUCACCAGGGUGGCGGGUCGGCUUUUCGUACUACCAACAGAAAUGUAAAAGGGCCGAAUAUUAAUAUUCCGAUAACGUGUCUGGACGUAUCAGCCGCCUUUGUUUCGUUCCUACUCUCUUCCUUCGCUUCUCCGGCAGAAGAUGAACAUCCUCGAGAUAAGAAAUUCCACGAAGACUUCCCUUCCACUUUAUUAUUCCUCGUCGCGCUCAUAGGUUUUGCCGCGACUGCUUUUACCUGGCUUUGCAACUAUUAUUAUAGGACGUGGCAAGUUUCACGAUGCACCACGUACAAAGUGAAACAAGCCGCGUUUCGCUCGGUGAAUCGUUACAGAGCAAGACCCUCUUGGAAUUCAUGAUUUCGAAAGAACCGUUCCUUCACAGAUAGGCUGAUGAAAGAAGGAAAUUCUUGGAAAGAUAUCUAGGCAAAGCUUCAAUCUUCUUACAUGCUUUUCACUAAGGUUCAAACGUGCAUUUGGUUUAAUCAAGAUCAUAAACGAUACACAAGAUCUUUCUGCUGAAAUACAUUUCAGAGAUUACGAACGUUCAAUUAGGGUUAACUUUAUUUAAAACGACUAGUCUCGAGCUGGUGGUUCUGACGCCCCAUUGAUCCUCUUUUGGUCGUUUGAAGCUUAGCGUAAACUUCAAAUCAGUCUUUAAAAUCUACACUCGUUCACGGGAUCAGGAACGAGAACGAAAUCAACUAAUGGCAGGACGGAAUCAUUAAAAUUAGUUAGAACGGAAAUUUAAUCGCGAUUAUCAACCACAAAUCGCCUUCUUGCCAGACGGUCAGACCAUAGAGCAAGCGAACAUCUUAAACGAGUUCGUGAGCAUGAAGGGACGUGACACACCGCUCCGAAAGUAUAUUGCGUGCCCCCUCAUUUUUUGACCGAUUUGAGGGUCUACUGCCUACCUGCAACCUGGCCCAUCGAGCCUACAAAAUGUUUUCUAUCCCUUUCUACCCCCUCCCCCCGUCUGUCCUCUCCCUUCGCCACAUUUAUCUGCCUGGUCUCUCCUUUUUUCC